AAUGAGUUCAUGUUGUAUUUUUUACCUGUGUUUAGUGUCGAUGAAUUGAAGAGUGACUGUAUCCAUAGCAACCAGCAGGUGGAGCAGCAACCAUGUAGUUUUUUGGGGGGAAAUUCAUCACAGUGUGAACGAGAUCUGAGAGAAAUCAGAGGGUUCGGUCGCUUUAUAAGACGUUCCAGUGUUUAGUUAUAAUGUUGUUGAUUUCUCGUCCAAUGGGAGACAGUUCAGUGGACAAACCGCCGCCCUCUGAUCAGCUGUCCAGAUGUGCGUCUCCUGGCAGCUUCUGUCCAGUCAUUUCUACUGUAUUACACUCAGACUCCUCAUCUGUGCUGCAGUUUCCUCUCAGUCACAGAAACUUUCCUGUUGGAACGUUUUGAUCAGUUGUUGUCCUGUUUCUGCUUCAUGGUUUGCUGUAAAUGCUGCUGUCUGAACCUGCAUGUUGGUUGUUGUACAUUGUCAAAUCUAGAAAACUGACUUUCUCUUUGGAUUGUUCACUCUGAAACGCAGGUAUUGUGUGGUAGAGUUGAUGUAAUCCACAAAGUCAUUCAACUCAUCCGUAUCAAAGAAUCUUUUCCAUAAUGAAAUCUUGGAGAGGAAAGGCUUGUUAGCUGAAUUAUGAAUGAAACUCCAUCACUCAGCUCACAUAUGGAAGGAACUCCCCAUGUUCACACCUCUCCUCUGCAGAUAAUAAGCUUCUGCAUGUUGGAAAUCAUUUUUAGAUAGGAUUAUUUCUGUGAGCGUCAACAGAAAUUCAUCAGGCAGUAGCAGCUCAGUAGGGCGUGUUUCUAAAUAAUAUAACAGUGCUUCAAUGCUACAGCGUGAUGGAUACAGGUGUACAGACUCUGGACAUCACAUGUUACAAGAAUGAAAUCUUUGUCACCCUUAAAAGAAUCCAACAGUUUAAAAUAUCUGUUGUGUCUCUAAAUAGUUUAGUAAAUGUCUUAACAAUAGAAAGAGACAGCUGAUACUGGAUAUGAUAGGUCUGAGGGGCAGAUUAAUCAGUGGUUUGUGGACUUUAGGAAGCAAAAGGACAAAUUUAGGAGAAAUUGGAUGUUGUACAGUCAAAAAGUCUUUUUCUGUGUCUACUAUUCAAACCUGUUGAAGCCCUGCAGCCUCCAGGACCUGAUCUACCUCAGUUUGAUAUUCAUCCACAGGGUCACUGUUUAGGGGCUGUAGAGUCAACAAUUAUCAAUGAUGACAAUGUUUGUUUUAAUGUCUAAAUCUACCAACAGUUGGUGAAUGGUGAGUGUUAAUUUUGGACCCUGUUCCCAGUACAACCAGUCUGACCUGCUGCCACUGGAGCAGUUGGGGUUAAGUGUAAACAUCUCAAUCAACUCUGGAAACUUCUGGGAGGCCAUGAAGAAGACUGAUGUUAGUCCAUCCUGUUCUGCUGGUGUUACUUACCUGACCCCCCUUUAGUACAGCUCAAGGGCUCCACCUAGUGGCAGCCCCCCCUCCACACAGAGAGGAAACCAGGAGCCCUCUGAGCUGAAGUCCUGGUCUGGAUCAUUGUGGUUUUAAUCACAAGUUCUGUGAUGUUCUGGUUUGAUUUUGUUGUUAUUUGAGGUCUGGACUUGGAUUCAUGGUACAGGAAUAUAUGCAUAGAUUGACUAAUGAACAUGCUGUAUUAUAUUAUAUAUAUCAUAUAUAUUACUGAAUGUUAAUGGUCUAAACAAUCCCAUCAAAAGUUAAAACAGGAGAAAAUCAA